rnacentral:rRNA from 1 species
UGACCGCUGGCGGCGUGCCUCAUACAUGCAAGUCGAGCGAACGGACGAGAAGCUUGCUUCUCUGAUGUUAGCGGCGGACGGGUGAGUAACACGUGGAUAACCUACCUAUAAGACUGGGAUAACUUCGGGAAACCGGAGCUAAUACCGGAUGAUAUUUUGAACCGCAUGGUUCAAAAGUGAAAGACGGUCUUGCUGUCACUUAUAGAUGGAUCCGCGCUGCAUUAGCUAGUUGGUAAGGUAACGGCUUACCAAGGCAACGAUGCAUAGCCGACCUGAGAGGGUGAUCGGCCACACUGGAACUGAGACACGGUCCAGACUCCUACGGGAGGCAGCAGUAGGGAAUCUUCCGCAAUGGGCGAAAGCCUGACGGAGCAACGCCGCGUGAGUGAUGAAGGUCUUCGGAUCGUAAAACUCUGUUAUUAGGGAAGAACAUAUGUGUAAGUAACUGUGCACAUCUUGACGGUACCUAAUCAGAAAGCCACGGCUAACUACGUG